rnacentral:rRNA from 1 species
AUUGAACGCUGGCGGCCGGCCUAACACAUGCAAGUCGAACGAGUGGCGGACGGGUGAGUAAUGUCUGGGAAACUGCCUGAUGGAGGGGGAUAACUACUGGAAACGGUAGCUAAUACCGCAUACCAUCGGAUGUGCCCAUAUGGGAUUAGCUAGUUGGUGGGGUAACGGCUCACCAAGGCGACGAUCGCUAGCUGGUCUGAGAGGAUGACCAGAGAAACUGGAACAGAGACACGGUCCAGACGCCUACGGGAGGCAGCAGGGGGGAAUAUUGCACAAUGGGCGAAAGCCUGAUGCAGCCAUGCCGCGUGUAUGAAGAAGGCCUUCGGGUUGUAAAGUACUUUCAGCGGGGAGGCGUUACCCGCAGAAGAAGCACCGGCUAACUCCGUGCCAGCAGCCGCGGUAAUAC